AAAUACUGAAAAGUCAAAGGACCUGUCAAGAUCAUCGGCCAUGACAGUGGCUGGAUGGAGGCCACCUCAUCCAUCUGGUCCUGGCAUUUCUGAGAAAGGACCAUGCUGAACCAUGCAGAGCAAAUUUGCAAGGGCUAUCUCAUGGACUGCCUCAUUGGUUGUCACAAUAAUACUGUGAGGUGGGAUUCCAUUUGAGAACCAACUCUAGUCAGCCUUC
rnacentral:lncRNA from 10 species